rfam:Mustela putorius furo unplaced genomic scaffold scaffold00068, whole genome shotgun sequence.
AGCUUUGUGCAGUGGUCGUAUCGUAGCCAAUGAGGUUUAUCUGAGGUGCGAUUACUGCUAAUUAAAAGAAUAGAUCUUAAAAAUUCUUAUCACACACACACAAAAAUGGUAACUGCGUGGUGAUGGAUAUUAACUAAACUUAUGGUGAUCA